AGGCAGCAGUGGGGAAUAUUGCACAAUGGGCGCAAGCCUGAUGCAGCCAUGCCGCGUGUGUGAAGAAGGCCUUCGGGUUGUAAAGCACUUUCAGCGAGGAGGAAGGGUUAAGUGUUAAUAGCACUGAACAUUGACGUUACUCGCAGAAGAAGCACCGGCUAACUCCGUGCCAGCAG
rnacentral:rRNA from 1 species